GACGAACGCUGGCGGCGUGCCUAACACAUGCAAGUCAAGGAGAAUUCCCGACUUGUCGGGAUAGUAAACUGGCGAACGGGUGAGUAACACGUAGGUAAUCUACCCUCGGGAUCGGGAUAACCUCGCGAAAGUGGGGAUAAUACCGAAUAAAGUCUCGGUAUAAUUUGUCGAGAUGAAAGAUGGGGAUCUUCGGACCUAUUACCUGAGGAUGAGCCUGCGCCUGAUUAGCUAGUUGGUAGGGUAAAUGCCUACCAAGGCAACGAUCAGUAGCUGGUCUGAGAGGAUGAUCAGCCACAUUGGGACUGAGAUACGGCCCAGACUCCUACGGGAGGCAGCAGUGAGGAAUUUUGCGCAAUGGGCGAAAGCCUGACGCAGCAACGCCGCGUGACUGAUUAAGCUCUGAGGAGUGUAAAAGUCUGUCGUAGAGGAAGAAACUAUCCGAUAAGAAUAUUGUCGGAUACUGACGGUACUCUAUGAGAAAGCUCCGGCUAACC
rnacentral:rRNA from 1 species